rnacentral:rRNA from 1 species
UACGGAGGGGGCUAGCGUUGUUCGGAAUUACUGGGCGUAAAGCGCACGUAGGCGGCUUGGUAAGUUAGAGGUGAAAGCCCAGGGCUCAACCCUGGAAUUGCCUUUAAGACUGCCGAGCUAGUAGGUGAGAGAGGUGAGUGGAAUUCCGAGUGUAGAGGUGAAAUUCGUAGAUAUUCGGAAGAACACCAGUGGCGAAGGCGGCUCACUGGCUCAUUCUAGACGCUGAGGUGCGAAAGCGUGGGGAG